GUGGGGAAGGGCCAGUGCCCCGGGCUGUGUGCUCUCUCCCUCGGCAUGCAGACCGGUGUGCCUGCCGUGGCCCUGAGGGACAGGAUGAAGGUGUUCCGAACCCCGGAGAGCAGGUGGAUGGGUGCGACGGAUAGUUGCUGCUGCAACUGCUGUCUACAGUGCCCCUCAAACUCCGGUGGUGCGCAGGUCAUUUUAAGGCAGGAAUUCAAGCACCUUGGAGGAAUCACUGGUUUUGAAGAGACUGCUUCUAUCAUUUAUGGUGUGAUUGUACAAACAGUACAAGGAACAAGCUAUAAAACACAACAAAAUAAAAAAAGCAACUCUCCUUUAAAUCCAUAUAAUAUAUUUGAUGAUCCUGACAUUUUCACUCAACUUGGAUGAAAACAGAGCAGUGAAUGUUUUAAUUAUAAAUAAAUAAAAUUUUACUUCCUCUGGAAGCAGAUAUUUGAGAGAUUCCCCCCAACCAGUUUUCCCACUUGGAGAAAGUUGGAUCUCUCAGAGCAGUUCUGUUUUCAUGGGACAAAACACUGUUCACGUGAUUCUCCAUCUUGAUCAAGAGCUAGCUCUUCACCUCUUUUCCAGAAACACAUCACCUCAAGAAUCUGUUGGGAAGGAGGUAAAAAAUGUCCUUUUAUCAGAUUUUUAGUGUCUAUUUUCCAAGACAAGUCAUUAUCCCUUUCUACCCUUUGUAUGAUUGAGAUUACUAAACUAAAGCUCUAUGAGAGCCAAGAGACAAAGCCAGAAUGAGAUUGCCAGUGAUUAAAUAGAGUUUGUUAAGUU